rnacentral:lncRNA from 1 species
GCCUGGGCUUGCUCCCCGCCGGCACAUUUCAGUCUAGACAGCCAUUUUCACCCAGGACAGCAGCGAGGCCAGAAAGGAUGGAGAAGCUCGAUACCGUAAGUCAGGCUGGAAUCUCACCAGCGAGCCAUAGCUGCAGGAGACUGGGCAGAGGGUUGCGCUCGCAGCAGCUGCAGCGGCCGAGCCGGCGCCGGGACCCACCCGCGCGUCCACCGCGGAGUCCCGGAGUGAUGCCACCCUCCGCGCCGCCUCGCCCCUCCUAUGGUACCACGCAGAUCCCCAUUACCCGGCAGGCGGGCAGUUCGCGCCGGCGCCCAGCAGAGCUCGGGUAUCCUCCGGGAGAAGCCUGGGCACCAGUGCGAGAACGAUAUGUGCCUCCGGUUCCCGGGAGGAAAGAGCUGGAGAGAGCCGGAGCUGAGCAGCACUUCACGCCGAAGUUUCCCCCUUUGAAUCGUCUGGAGUUCUCUCUCUCUGCUUCCUGACCAUCAUGACAUGACCAGUCUCCUCUUCCUGCACAAGGUUCUGUUGCCAUGAUCUUCUGUCUUUCCCUGGGCUCAGAACCAGCAGAGCCCAUGAUCAUGGAUGGACUGGGAUCCCUGAAACAGGUCGUUUGGGCUGUUCUAAGCCUCUCGUGUUUCAACGUGAAUUUUGGAAUCAAGCUGCUGUUAUGAGGAAUGAAGCUCUUUACAAACACUGCCAGACUCGUCAUAACCCUCGUAUAUGCAAGGCUACCAUGGCAGAGUCCUCUCAAAAGCUCACAUUGAAACUUAGCCCCCUCUGCAACAGCAGUAAGAAGUAUGGCUUUAGUGGAGCUCUGAAGUCACAAAUAAGAUUGCCGCCUAUUAUAUAAGAAGGCUUGGAAUUAAAGGGAAACUUUCUCCUUGUCUGCUUUUCCACUGUGUGGAUACAGCAUUUCUCCUCUUCAGAAGAUGUGGUAACAAGGUGGUCUUCGAUACACACCAAUCCUACAGGCAACUUGAUCUUGUACUUCCAAGUCUCGAGAACUCUGAGAAGAAAAUUUCUGUUCCUUAUAAGUCUCCCCGAUCUGUGGCAUUCUGUGACAGCAGUGUAUCUAAUGAUAGCACCUUUGGCUGGAGGGAGAGUUUGCAGAGAUGUUUUGCAUGUUAGAUUUUCCAUCACUGGGACAGAUACCAGAGAAACAAUUUAAAGGAGGAAAGAUUUAUUUUAGCUCAGGGUUUCCAUGGUUUAGUUCAAGCAUAAUGGCUCUGUGUAUCUGGGCUAUGGUUAGGCAGAAUACCAUGACAACAGAGAGCUCAUAGCAUUAUAACCAAGAGGCCAAGAGAGGUAAGGAAAGAGUCUCAGGGCCAGGUAUUCUCUUCAAAGGCAUGUCCCCAGUGAUGAAUCUUCUCCAACCAGGACACACACACACACACACACACACACACACACACACACUCCUGUAGCUGCCAGUCAGUGGAUUCUAGAGCCCUCACAAAUUACCCAGUUGUGAAUGAUUGGACCUACAGUAUAGAGACUAAAGCUUCAACAAACAAGCAUGGGGAGUUGUGCUUAAUAACUAAACCAAAAU